GAUGAACGCUAGCGAUAGGCUUAACACAUGCAAGUCGAGGGGCAGCACAAGGUAGCUUGCUAUCUGGGUGGCGACCGGCGCACGGGUGCGUAACGCGUAUGCAACUUGCCCUAUACAGGAGGAUAACCCGUCGAAAGACGGACUAAUACUGCGUAUGCUCACAACUUAGCAUCAAGUGGUGAGGAAAGAAAUUCGGUAUAGGAUAGGCAUGCGUCCCAUUAGCUUGUUGGUGAGGUAACGGCUCACCAAGGCAACGAUGGGUAGGGGAACUGAGAGGUUUAUCCCCCACACUGGUACUGAGACACGGACCAGACGCCUACGGGAGGCAGCAGUGAGGAAUAUUGGUCAAUGGGCGCGAGCCUGAACCAGCCAAGUCGCGUGAAGGAUGACUGUCUUAUGGAUUGUAAACUUCUUUUAUACGGGAAGAACAAGAGUCACGUGUGACUCCCUGCAUGUACCGUAUGAAUAAGCAUCGGCUAACUCCGUG
rnacentral:rRNA from 1 species